rnacentral:rRNA from 1 species
CUGGAAGGUACUAGUACUGAAUCAUAUAAGUGUCUUAUGUGAUGUCGUAAGGGAAAAUAAUGAUAUUACCUUACUAAUAGUGUCGUCUAAAACUGGUGCCAGAAGACUCGGUAAGGCCAGAGACACGAAUGUUAAUCGUCUUAAUCAGGCGUAAAGGGUUUGUAGGCUGCUUUGAAAGUAUUGAAUUUACUAUAGCUAAAAUAAAUUAAUAUGAAUUAAAGCUAGAAUCUAAUAGAGGAUAUUUACGAAAUAAUGCUUGGUCGAGGGCUGAUAUCCUAAGACAUCAAGUGGAAUUCCAAUGGCGUAAGCAUUUAUCCAUUAAAGAUUGACGCUGAGAAACGAAGGUGAGGAUAGGAAAUAGGAUUAGAUACCCAGAUACCCCUCUCUGUCAACGAUGAAUGGUAGUUGUUAGUCCAACACAAACUAGUGACGAAGUUAACACGAUAACCAUUCCGCCUUGUGAGUACGACUGCAAAGUUGAAAACAAAAAAAUUAGUCGGUCUCGAGCAGCAAGAU